CUGAAAUUCGCCUUCAUGAAGCCGGAAUUGCUAGUAAUGGCAGGUCAGCAUACUGCCGUGAAUACGUUCCCGGGCCUUGUACACACCGCCCGUCACACCAUGAGAGUUGGGAAUACCCGAAGCCUGUGAGCUAACGUAAGAGGCAGCAGUCGAAGGUAGAAUCAAUGAUUGGGGUGAAGUCGUAACAAGGUACC
rnacentral:rRNA from 1 species